AGUAGAAUUGCUGGAUAAUAUGGUAAAUUUAUCUUUAACUUUUUAAGAAACUGCCAAAUUGUUUUCCAAAGUGGCUGUAACAUUUGCAUUCCCACCAGCACU
rnacentral:pre_miRNA from 1 species